CUGUUAGGGCUCUAGGGUAAUAGAUGGGAGCCCCAAAAGGCGCCUGGAGGCACCAGAGUCCAGCAGCGCUGCCUCAGCCGCUCGUCCGCGCCCUAGUGUCCUAUUUCUUUAAAAUAAAAGCUGCGAGCCCUACAAUUACUGGGAUUACAGUGAGCAGGUAUUGAUCUGCAGCCGGCAUUGUAGGAUCAAGCAGGCGGGCGGACGCAGACAUCGCUGCUUCCCACCCCCUUGCCGCCGCCUAGGCCUGCAAAACGCUAAAAAACCAUUUCUAAAUGUUUGAUUUCAAACGCACCAUCAACACCUGCUGCAAAACUGGGAGCUGUUUAUUUAUGGCUGCAAAUGUGUGCGUGCGAGAGAGAGGGAGAAUUGAUCUUUGCCUGGACUUAAAGAUGGAGCCGAAGGCGCUGGAGGGAAUUUGGGUUUACGCGCCUAGCUCAGACCGGGGCGCUGAAGGGGGCCGUUUGGCACGAAGCCCGAGGUCGCUCUUUUCCGCACCCCUCACCUCGCGACCUUUCAGGAAUCUGAGGGGUCCUGAAGCGGCCUGGCUGACCCACCUCCCCGGGGCCGAGCUUCGAGAAAGGCUUCAUGGAGGGAGCCAUCCCGUCCCUGUCUUUAAAAUGAGCGCAAUAAAAGGGGGCAAAUCCUCAAACGUGAACCUGAUCACUUGUCACAGAAGCAACUUGCCAUGAAAUCCGCUAAUGCGCCGCGACUCGCCCACCCGGGCUGGUUCCCGCUUUCUAAAUCUCCCAGGUGGCUUGUUGUCUCUGCAAAUCCAACACAAACGUACUCAGGAUUAUCUCAGGCCACUGUCCUUGCAGCACUGACCAUUAUCUCGAUGGAAGAACGAGCUCCUCUGGUCAGAGAGCAUAAAGCGGCGGCUAAAUUCGUGUCUUUCCCCACCCACCCACCGCACCCUUUAAUGGUGAGAAAAUAUAGGCUUCUCAAAUCCACAGAAGCAACCAAACACACAUUUCCCAAUGUUCUUUGUUUAUAUCGGUUCGGGUGCUGGAAGCUGUCUGACAACGAGCUUUUUCGUUGAGCCUGUUUUAUGCAGAGCACUUGGGAUAUUUUUCAGU
ensembl:lncRNA